UACGUAGGGUCCGAGCGUUGUCCGGAAUUAUUGGGCGUAAAGGGCUCGUAGGCGGUCUGUCGCGUCCGUUGUGAAAACUCGAGGCUCAACCUCGGGCUUGCAGUGGAUACGGGCAGACUAGAGUGCGGUAGGGGAGACUGGAAUUCCUGGUGUAGCGGUGAAAUGCGCAGAUAUCAGGAGGAACACCCGUGGCGAAAGCGGCUCUCUAGGACGGUACUGACGCUGAGACGCGAAAGCGUGGGGAGCAAACAGG
rnacentral:rRNA from 1 species